CCUACGGGGGGCAGCAGUGGGGAAUAUUGCACAAUGGGGGAAACCCUGAUGCAGCGACGCCGCGUGAGUGAAGAAGUAUUUCGGUAUGUAAAGCUCUAUCAGCAGGGAAGAAAAUGACGGUACCUGACUAAGAAGCCCCGGCUAACUACGUGCCAGCAGCCGCGGUAAUACGUAGGGGGCAAGCGUUAUCCGGAUUUACUGGGUGUAAAGGGAGCGUAGACGGCGGAACAAGUCAGAAGUGAAAACCCGGGGCUCAACCCUGGGAGUGCUUUUGAAACUGUUUGGCUGGAGUGCAGGAGAGGUAA
rnacentral:rRNA from 1 species